AGUGAACGCUGGCGGUAGGCCUAACACAUGCAAGUCGAACGGCAGCACAGUAAGAGCUUGCUCUUACGGGUGGCGAGUGGCGGACGGGUGAGGAAUACAUCGGAAUCUACUUUUUCGUGGGGGAUAACGUAGGGAAACUUACGCUAAUACCGCAUACGACCUACGGGUGAAAGCAGGGGAUCUUCGGACCUUGCGCGAUUGAAUGAGCCGAUGUCGGAUUAGCUAGUUGGCGGGGUAAAGGCCCACCAAGGCGACGAUCCGUAGCUGGUCUGAGAGGAUGAUCAGCCACACUGGCACUGAGACACGGUCCAGACUCCUACGGGAGGCAGCAGUGGGGAAUAUUGGACGAAGGGCGCAAGCCUGAUCCAGCCAUACCGCGUGGGUGAAGAAGGCCUUCGGGUUGUAAAGCCCUUUUGUUGGGAAAGAAAAGCAGCAGGUUAAUACCCCGCUGUUCUGACGGUACCCAAAGAAUAAGCACCGGCUAACUUCGUG
rnacentral:rRNA from 1 species